GACGUAGGGCGCAAGCGUUGUCCGGAUUUAUUGGGCGUAAAGAGCUCGUAGGCGGCUUGUUGCGUCGGCUGUGAAAACCCGCGGCUUAACUGCGGGCUUGCAGCCGAUACGGGCGGGCUGGAGUUCGGUAGGGGAGACUGGAAUUCCUGGUGUAGCGGUGAAAUGCGCAGAUAUCAGGAGGAACACCGGUGGCGAAGGCGGGUCUCUGGACAGUUCCUGACACUGAGACACGAAGGCCAGGGGAGCAAACGGG
rnacentral:rRNA from 1 species